rnacentral:lncRNA from 1 species
AUGGACCCCCCAUCCCUGGAUGCAGCCAUCCAGCAUGCCCUGGCGGGCCUCUAUCCUCCUUUUGAGGCAACAGCACCUACCAUCCUGGGUCAGGUGUUCCGUCUCCUGGAUUCUGACUUCCGGGGCGAUGGACUGAACUUCCUCCUGGAUUUCCUGAUCCCUGCCAAGCGCCUGUGUGAACAAGUGCGUGAAGCAGCUUGUGCCCCCUACUCACACCGCCUCUUCCUGCACGAGGGCUGGCCGCUGUGCAUGCGGGAUGAGGUUGUGGUUCACCUGGCACCCCUCAAUCCCCUCUUACUGCGCCAAGGUGACUUCUACCUCCAAGUCGAGCCCCGGGAGGAACAGUCCGUCUGCCUCACGAUCAAGUGCCUCUCUGUGGACCUCCGCACAGUGGAAAUGAAGUCUGUCCCUGAGUCAUCCUAUCCUAUACUUUUCACCCAAGCCUGGCUAGAGGCCAUCAACAGUGACUCUGAGGGCAGUCCCCUACACAACUGCCUGGUAGCUUCAGAAGAUGGCAUGGCCCCUGUGCCCUGGACCAAGAUAACCAGCCCAGAGUUUGUGGAUGACAGACCCCCAGCAGUGAAUCUCCUCUCCCCAGCCUGGGCGUCCCUUCAGUUAGAGGCACUGGAUUUGAGCAGCUCUCAAGAGCUGCACCAGGCCAGGUGCCCAGACAGGCAGGUGCUGCUUGUCCGGAGUUUGGGCAAGGGCAGGACACACAGGAACAAGUACCCAGGACUUAUCAAGGUGGAGCAAGCUGGACCUGGGGAGGUGGGCUUCAGGGUGGACAGUGUGGCCAGCCAGGACCUGGAGGGAGAGUAUGUGGCUCUUCUGGACUUUUCCCAAGAGAGCAGAGAAGGGUCUCCCAGUAAGGAGGUGGCGGCACCCAAUGGGUGUCCUUUGGGGGCACCAGAAGAGCUAUCUGGAACCAAGGAAAUCCCUUUCUCUCAAAGGACGCUUCCUCUGUCAGGGGCCAAUGGAGAGCCUUCCUUGGAAAAAUGGGCUUGUGAGAAGCCUGAAAGCUUGAGGGAGAAACCCUGUGUUUGGGGCUUGAGGAGAAAGGCUAAUGAUAAAGUCCCUACCCAAGACUCAGAACACCAGCCCCUAGAGCCAUACCUCAGCAUCUUUGUAAACCCACUGCAUUGUGCGUCUGGCCUCGGGACAGGUGCCUCAGAAGAGCCACCUACCUCCAAGACACAGGGCAUUCUGGGAAACUCAGAGAGCAUGGUCCAGCUCAAGCCAGGACCAAAACAAGCAUCCUCUCCCCGGCUCUGCCCAGCUUCUCCUCUUGCUGCUCCAGCCUCCAAAACCAAGAUGGAAGAGAGGACCAAACAGGGCAAUGGGAGACUUGCCAAGCCUGUGACUAACCCCGGUAGAAACACUUCCUCUUCCAGGUCGCCCACUCCUGGGCUCAAAUUCUCAUUCUUAAAGGGGCAGAGGCAAGCCCCUGCGGCCCCAGAGAAAGCCUCGCUCCAGCAUGACGGGCCCUGGAAAGUCUUGUGUUCACUCUACUCACCCAAACCCAACCGAGCCAAGUGCUUAGGGAAAGCUGGAACAACUCAGACCAAAACAUCUGGCCUAGACGCUGACUCAGACCCAGUGACGGAGGAAAAGGCUGACUUCCCAGAAGCUUCUGCAGGCCCUCCAGAAAAAAGCCCCGCUCUGGAAGAGGACCCCCCAGGGCUUGAGCCCAGGAUUGGGGCCCUGAGCGUGGAGAUCUUCCAUUCCAGGAUAGCAUGCCUGCCAGGCGGUCGGGACAGGGCGGGGCGGCCCCUGCUUCUGGUGUCGACCACCAAGGGCCCCUGGGAGGCGCCAUGGUGCACGGCCUCGGAGGUCACCAAGCUGUUUUCUUACCUGUGCGCCAUCCCCAGGCCUGAAGAUAAAACUAAGGGGUUGGCAGUCGUGAUUGAUGCUAGGAAACAGCCCCCACACCCCGGUCUGGUCAGUGCCCUGCAGGCCACCCAGGCACUGGUCCCAGCCUCCAUCCGUGCCAUGCUCUUCCUGGGGGAGAAGGAGGCAGCUCUCCAGCUGGAGGCAUUACCUGACAUCCAGGUAGAGGUGCUGACCUCACUGAAGGCCCUGAGCCACCACGUGGACCCCAGCCAGCUCCCUACGGCCCUGGAAGGCCCCUUCCCCUACUGUCAUGGCGAGUGGGUGCAAUUCUUCCAGAAGCUGGAUCCUUUCCUUGUUGACCUUCGCCAGGCCUCCUGCCUGCUAAAGGCUUCCAUCGAGGAGUUUGAGAAGGGUGAGCCCCCUGGAGGGGUGCAGGAGGCCUCCAGGUGUCUGAACAAGUCCAAGGAGCUGAUGGAGGCCGUGCUAAGGGACCCAGGCCUGAUGAGCCUCCAGCGGGAAGGCGGAGCCACCCUGGCCAGGCUGAGACAGGAGGGCAGCAGGCUGAACUUCAACCCGGACGUCAGGAGCCAUCUGGCCGAAGCUGCCGCCCUCUACAGCCUUGUGGAUGAGCAGCUGCACGUCCUGGCCACUGUGUCCAACCACCUCCUGAGAAGGCUGGAGCUCCGCGUCCGUCUGGGCCGCCUGGAAGCUGCCAUCCACCAGGUCAGCCACUGGAUGGAGCAGGAAGGAAGCCAGUGCCUGCAAGUGCUGACCCCCAAGGACGGAAGCUUGGAGACAGUGGAGAAAGCCCACGCAGAGUUCGAGGACUUCUUCCUUCAGGCUGCGGCCCAGUACCGCCGCGGCCUGGAGCUGUGCAAGCAGGCGGCCCAGCUGGCAGCAGCAGCCAGGGCUGGGGAGGCAGGAGGGACCGAGCUCCCGGAGCUGGCAGCCUUUGCCUUCACCCAGCGGGCCUUCCAGGCGAAGCUGACCCACUUCUACAUGGCGGCCGAGCGGCAACGCACAGACCUGGAGACACUGCUCCACCUGCACCACUUCUGCAAGAAGGUGACCUGGUUCCACAUGGACUGUCAGGACCUGAUGGCCCAGCUCAGGCUGGGCAAGGCCCAGAGGACCAGCCCUGGGGACCAGCGCCGUCUCCACCGCUACCUGCAGCGCCUGGCAUCCGAGUUUCCUGCUGAGAAGCUCACAGCCAUGGGGUUGCAGGUGGCCUCAUUGAGCCGGGAGGGCCUGGGCCGGGACCUGUGGGAGGAGGCCCAGGCGAGACACGAGGACAUCCAGAUGCUCCUGAAGAAGGCACUGGCCCACUGUCCAUGCCCGGCAGGUUCCCCGGCCCGCCCCGUGUGCCCAGAACUCAGAGGGGCGGCCGCCAAGGACCAGGGCCUGAAUGGGGAGGUCACUUCCAAGGGCAGAUGGGACCUGCCCCUCCAGGACUCACUGGGUUCAGAUCGUUCGCCCAAAUCCCGUUGGCCUCCUUGGGCCACCAGGCGCGGACAGAACAGAAAUUUCCAAGCGGCCCCUGCGACCCAAGAAGCUGGCCAGGCUGUUGAGGUUGAUGAAGGCAGAAGCUCCCAUGGGCCCUUAGACCCCGCGCCUGAGCGUUUCCUCACCACCCUCUUCUCCUGGCAACGACUCCCCAGGCAGACUCAGAUCCCGCAGCCUGCUGGGGACAGCUUCUCCUCGGAGGGGACAGGCUCACAGACAUCUCUGGAGGACUCGCCCCACACGAGUCCCCCUGCUUCCCUCUAG